AUUGAACGCUGGCGGCAGGCCUAACACAUGCAAGUCGGACGAGUGGCGGACGGGUGAGUAAUGUAUGGGGAUCUGCCUGAUGGAGGGGGAUAACUACUGGAAACGGUAGCUAAUACCGCAUACCAUCAGAUGUGCCCAUAUGGGAUUAGCUUGUUGGUAAGGUAACGGCUGACCAAGGCGACGAUCCCUAGCUGGUCUGAGCGGAUGACCAGCCAAACUGGACCUGAGCAACGGCCAAGACACCUACGGGAGGCAGCAGUGGGGAAUAUUGCACAAUGGGCGCAAUCCUGAUGCAGCCAGGCCGCGUGUAUGAAGAAGGCCUUAGGGUUGUAAAGUACUUUCAGUGGGGAGGCGUUACCCACAGAAGAAGCACCGGCUAACUCCGUGCCAGCAGCCGCGGUAAUAC
rnacentral:rRNA from 1 species